UUAACGAGAGUUUGAUCCUGGCUCAGGACGAACGCUGGCGGCGUGCCUAAUACAUGCAAGUCGAACGAACGGAUAAGGAGCUUGCUCCUU
rnacentral:rRNA from 1 species